GGGCUGGGAAUAUGGCCUACUGGCAAGAGUGUUUGCCUCGUAUACAUGAAGCCCUGGAUUCAAUUCUUCAGCAACCCAUUAACACAAAUGGCUGGAAGUGGUGCUGUGACUCAAGUGGUAGAGUGCUAGCCUUGAGCAAAGAGAAGCCAGGGACAGUGCCCAGGACCUGAGUCUAAGCCCCAAGACUGGC